rnacentral:snRNA from 1 species
AUCCUUCCUUCAGUAGCACAUAUGAAAAAAACUAGAAUGAUACAGAAACGAUUAACAUGGCCACUGUGUAAAGGAUGAUAUGCAAAUCUGUGAAGCAAUUCAUAUUUUA